AGUGAACGCUGGCGGUAGGCCUAACACAUGCAAGUCGAACGGCAGCACAGUAAGAGCUUGCUCUUACGGGUGGCGAGUGGCGGACGGGUGAGGAAUACAUCGGAAUCUACUUUUUCGUGGGGGAUAACGUAGGGAAACUUACGCUAAUACCGCAUACGACCUACGGGUGAAAGCAGGGGAUCUUCGGACCUUGCGCGAUUGAAUGAGCCGAUGUCGGAUUAGCUAGUUGGCGGGGUAAAGGCCCACCAAGGCGACGAUCCGUAGCUGGUCUGAGAGGAUGAGCAGGCCAAAGGGGAAAUGGACACAGGGCCAGAACCCUACGGAGGGAGGCAGGGGGGAAUUUUGGAAAAGGGGGGCAAGCCUUAUCCCGCCAUACCGGGGGGGGGAAGAAGGCCUUGGGGUUGUAAAGCCCUUUUUUGGGGAAAAAAAAACAGCAGGUUAAUACCCCGCUGUUCUGACGGGACCCAAAGAAUAAGAACCGGCUAACUUCGU
rnacentral:rRNA from 1 species